rnacentral:rRNA from 1 species
AGAGUUUGAUCCUGGCUCAGAAUCAACGCUGGCGGCGCGCUUAACACAUGCAAGUCGCACGAGAAAGUGGAGCAAUCCAUGAGUAAAGUGGCGUACGGGUGAGUAACACGUGGGUAAUCUACCUCUUAGUGGGGAAUAACUCUGGGAAACCGGAGCUAAUACCGCAUAAGCCUGGAAAGGGAAAGCAGCAAUGCGCUGAGAGAGGAGCCCGCGGCCGAUUAGCUAGUUGGUAGGGUAAAGGCCUACCAAGGCAAUGAUCGGUAGCCGGCCUGAGAGGGCACACGGCCACACUGGCACUGAAACACGGGCCAGACUCCUACGGGAGGCAGCAGUGGGGAAUCUUGCACAAUGGGGGAAACCCUGAUGCAGCGACGCCGCGUGAGCGAUGAAGCCCUUCGGGGUGUAAAGCUCUUUCGGCAGGAACGAUAAUGACGGUACCUGAAGAAGAAGCUGCGGCUAACUACGUGCCAGCAGCCGCGGUAAUACGUAGGCAGCAAGCGUUGUUCGGAGUUACUGGGCGUAAAGAGUGUGUAGGCUGUUCUCUAAGUUUGGUGUGAAAUUUCCCGGCUCAACUGGGAGGGUGCGCCGAAAACUGGAGGGCUCGAGUAUGGGAGAGGAAAGCGGAAUUCCUGGUGUAGCGGUGAAAUGCGUAGAUAUCAGGAGGAACACCUGCGGUGUAGACAGCUUUCUGGACCAUCACUGACGCUGAGACACGAAAGCGUGGGUAGCAAACAGGAUUAGAUACCCCGGUAGUCCACGCCCUAAACGAUGCAUACUUGGUGUGAGCCGUUCAUUCGGUUCGUGCCGGAGCUAACGCGUUAAGUAUGCCGCCUGGGGAGUACGGUCGCAAGGCUGAAACUCAAAGGAAUUGACGGGGGCCCGCACAAGCGGUGGAGCAUGUGGUUUAAUUCGACGCAACGCGAAGAACCUUACCUGGGCUCGAACGGCUUUGGCAACUCCGUGGAAACAUGGGGCCUCCCGCAAGGACCGGAGUCGAGGUGCUGCAUGGCUGUCGUC